GACGUAGGUGGCGAACGUUAUCCGGAAUUAUUGGGCGUAAAGGGUGCGUAGGCGGCAUGAUAAGUUAUUGGCGGCAAAUCGAGGUUCAACCUCGUGGAAACUAAUAAUACUGUCUUGCUUGAGUGCGGAAGAGGUUAACGGAACUCCAUGUGGAGCGGUAAAAUGUGUAGAUAUAUGGAAGAACAUCAAUAACGGCGAAGGCAGUUAACUAUUCUGUUACUGACGUUGAGGCACGAAAGCGUGGGGAGCAAAAAGG
rnacentral:rRNA from 1 species